rnacentral:rRNA from 1 species
GAUGAACGCUGGCGGCGUGCCUAAUACAUGCAAGUCGAGCGAACAGACGAGGAGCUUGCUCCUCUGACGUUAGCGGCGGACGGGUGAGUAACACGUGGAUAACCUACCUAUAAGACUGGGAUAACUUCGGGAAACCGGAGCUAAUACCGGAGAAUAUAUUGAACCGCAUGGUUCAAUAGUGAAAGACGGUUUUGCUGUCACUUAUAGAUGGAUCCGCGCCGCAUUAGCUAGUUGGUAAGGUAACGGCUUACCAAGGCAACGAUGCGUAGCCGACCUGAGAGGGUGGUCGGCCACCCUGGAACUGAGCCAGGGUCCAGACUCCUACGGGAGGCAGCAGUAGGGAAUCUUCCGCAACGGGCGAAAGCCUGACGGAGCAACGCCGAGUGAGUGAUGAAGGUCUUCGGAUCGUAAAACUCUGUUAUUAGGGAAGAACAAAUGUGUAAGUAACUAUGCACGUCUUGACGGUACCUAAUCAGAAAGCCACGGCUAACUACGUG